GAUGAACGCUGGCGGCGUGCCUAAUACAUGCCAGUCGAGCGAACGGACGAGAAGCUUGCUUCUCUGAUGUUAGCGGCGGACGGGUGAGUAACACGUGGAUAACCUACCUAUAAGACUGGGAUAACUUCGGGAAACCGGAGCUAAUACCGGAUAAUAUUUUGAACCGCAUGGUUCAAAAGUGAAAGACGGUCUUGCUGUCACUUAUAGAUGGAUCCGCGCUGCAUUAGCUAGUUGGUAAGGUAACGGCUUACCAAGGCGACGAUGCGUAGCCGACCUGAGAGGGUGAUCGGCCACACUGGAACUGAGACACGGUCCAGACUCCUACGGGAGGCAGCAGUAGGGAAUCUUCCGCAAUGGGCGAAAGCCUGACGGAGCAACGCCGCGUGAGUGAUGAAGGUCUUCGGAUCGUAAAACUCUGUUAUUAGGGAAGAACAAAUGUGUAAGUAACUAUGCACGUCUUGACGGUACCUAAUCAGAAAGCCACGGCUAACUACGUG
rnacentral:rRNA from 1 species